rnacentral:rRNA from 1 species
UACGUAGGUGGCAAGCGUUGUCCGGAAUUAUUGGGCGUAAAGCGCGCGCAGGCGGUUCCUUAAGUCUGAUGUGAAAGCCCACGGCUCAACCGUGGAGGGUCAUUGGAAACUGGGGAACUUGAGUGCAGAAGAGAAGAGUGGAAUUCCACGUGUAGCGGUGAAAUGCGUAGAGAUGUGGAGGAACACCAGUGGCGAAGGCGACUCUUUGGUCUGUAACUGACACUGAGGCGCGAAAGCGUGGGGAGCAAACAGG